rnacentral:lncRNA from 1 species
UUUCUUUUCUUUUUCUUUUUUUUUACAGAAAAAAUGAUAUGCAAUAUUUGAGCUGCCAAAAGGAGUUCUGUAAAAUGUGGGACUUGGCCAAAUAAAUACAUUACAAUAUUUGGCACCUGCCACAAAAAGUUUGGGAGGAGUUUGAAUUGAUUUGGAUUUUUCACAAAUGGAAAAGCAUUUCAAAAUGUUGAUUUGGAACUGCAUUAAUUCCCAGGGGAAAUUAGCUAUCUCAAAUGAUGUUGAAUCACUCAUGACAUUUAGUUAGUGAAAAUUUGCAACCCAGCGAACAUUUUUGUUUUACCGUUUGGAGAAAUAAUUUAUUUGACUUUAUUUUAAAAUUGUAUUUGAAUUGGUUUUGAAUCAAAGUGAGAUUAGCAACAGUAACAAUGAUGACUUGGCAUCAUUAGUAGGGGAUUACUGUAGCUUGAUUAUCCGAGCGUUACAAAUCUCCUCCACUACAAGAAACCUCGUCCCGAGAUUUAAGAGGUGGAGUAAGGGGGAAGCGAUAGGGACAAUUGUCUGAAAGGAUCAGCAUCUGGUAGUUAUCUCAAGGAAGGAGAUUUUAGAAGCACUAGGACGUAUCGAGAGUGCUAUACGGAGAUUCAACAAGUUAAUUAAGUUAAUCAAUUUCAACUAAUCUAGUGAUUUGGCUAAUUAAUCCCGAGUUAAUUAACUAAUUAACUAAUCAAUUUAUUAUUAUGUUUUUUUAAACUCUUUUUUUAUAGGGGCGUGGGGGCCCCAUUGGGCAGUGGCCCAUAUGGCCAACUGGGUGUGCGGGAGUGCGGGUACCGGGCGCGGGCGCCCAUCCAGGGCAAGGCCGUGGCCUCAGCUGGGCUUCCCCCGGCCGGCACGCACGGCACAGAAGGCGCUGACGGCCUCAGCGCCUAGCGCAGGGUGAGGCUCCGAGCGGCGGCGGUAGCAGAAGACGGCGGAGGCGGGCGGCUGCAGCAUGAUGAGCAUGGCAAGGCCAAGGCGAGCAGCCGGCGAAGGCGGACAACAGCUCGAAACAGGGGGCGCGGCGAGCAUCUGCGGGGCCGGCGAGGGGAGGAGGUCGCGGUGGAAGGCGGCGCCCAGGGCGAGCGCGGGCACACGCGCGCGCAUGCGAUGGCACAUGCGCUGGGCGAGGCCAUAGCGGGCCAUGGCGUCGGCCGAACGUGAGAGGGAAGGAAGGGGGUGUUGCUCACCCCCGCUGUAGAUGUUCGCAGGCGUCCAGCGGGGUGGAGGUCGGGGAAGCGAGCAUCGGCGACGAGGGUGACGGAGUUGGGGAAGCGACGGUGUAGACAUUGUGGCGUCGGGGAGGCUCCGACGAGGAGGGGCUCCGGGCGAUAGUGGUAUCGGGGCCGAACCCCAGUUCCAGAUCGGGCGGAGGGGACGGUCCUCGGGCGCGGGGCGCACGACAUGCAGCGACGUCGGGGCGGCGCUGCGCCCAGAUCGGGUCGUGGUGAACAGGGGGGUCGAGGGGGAGGAGAGACGAGGGAGAGGGGAAUCGUGGGGAGUGGGGAAGUGGAUCGGGGGUCGAGCGUGGGGCUCUCCCCUGGCGGCGCUGUAGGGAGAGGGUGGGUUCGGGGCAGUCUAGGUUUAGGCCGGGGGCUGGGGGAGUUAUACGGGGCGGCUGGGCCGGUUGGCCCAGCGCGAGGGGAGGGGUUGUUUCUUUUCUUUUCUUUUUUUUACAGAAAAAAUGAUAUGCAAUAUUUGAGCUGCCAAAAGGAGUUCUGUAAAAUGUGGGACUUGGCCAAAUAAAUACAUUACAAUAUUUGGCACCUGGCACAAAAAGUUUGGGAGGAUUUUGAAUUGAUUUGGAUUUUUCACAAAUGGAAAAGCAUUUAAAAAUGCUGAUUUGGAACUGCAUUAAUUCCUAGGGGAAAUUAGCUAUCUCAAAUGAUGUUGAAUCACUCAUGAAAUUUAGUUAGUGAAAAUUUGCAACCCAG